GACGAACGCUGGCGGCGUGCUUAACACAUGCAAGUCGAACGGCAAGGCACUGCUUUUGUGGGGUGCUCGAGUGGCGAACGGGUGAGUAACACGUGAGUAACCUGCUCUUCACUUUGGUAUAACUUCAGGAAACUGGGGUUACUACAGUAUAGGAGCUCCUGCUGCAUUGUGGGGGUUGGAAAGUUUGGGCGUUUGGGGAUGGAUUAGCGGCUUAUGAGCUUGUUGGUGGGGUAGUGGCUUACCAAGGCUUUGACCGGUAGCCGGCCUGAGAGGGUGACCGGCCACAUGAGUACUGAGAGACGGCCCAGACGCCUACGUGAGGCAGCAGGGGGGAACAUUGCACAAUGGGAGGAAGCCUGAUGCAGCAACGCCGCGUUCGUGAAGACGUCCUGUGGGGUGUAAACCGCUGUCGCCUAUGACGAAGCUUUAGUGACGGUAAUGGGAAAAGAAGCACCGGCUAACUACGUG
rnacentral:rRNA from 1 species